rnacentral:lncRNA from 1 species
UUGAAUUGUAUAUUAUUGUUUUUAUUAUUUAUUUAACUAACCAAAAGCACAAAAAUAUGUCACUAACCUAUUUUUUUUGUAGCUCAAGCAAUCAUAUGAUCCGUUGCUCCUAGGAGGCUCCUAUGCUCAAAGAAGUGGCCAGAUGAAGAUGAAAGCAAGAAUGACAAUGGUUCCCAAAGCUCUCAAUCAUCAUAUAUUUCUCUCAUAUAUCUCAAUUUUCCAAUUUGAUCAAGAUAAACCAAAGGGCUUGAGGUUUGUUUCCCAAGGAAACC